rnacentral:rRNA from 1 species
UACGUAGGGGGCUAGCGUUGUCCGGAAUCAUUGGGCGUAAAGCGCGCGUAGGCGGUCAGGUAAGUCCGGUGUGAAAGUCAAAGGCUCAACCUUUGAAUGCCGCUGGAUACUGCUUGACUUGAGUCCGGAAGGGGCGAGUGGAAUUCCUGGUGUAGCGGUGAAAUGCGCUGAUAUCAGGAGGAACACCAAUGGCGAAGGCAGCUCGCUGGAACGGUACUGACGCUGAGGUGCGAAAGCGUGGGGAGCAAACAGG